rnacentral:rRNA from 1 species
GACGAACGCUGGCGGCGUGCUUAACACAUGCAAGUCGAACGAAAAGGCCCUGCUUUCGUGGGGUGCUCGAGUGGCGAACGGGUGAGUAACACGUGAGUAACCUGCCCUUGAUUUUGGGGUAACUUCAGGAAACUGGGGUUAAUACCGGAUAGGAGCUGCUGCUGCAUGGUGGGGGUUGGAAAGUUUCGGCGGUUGGGGAUGGACUCGCGGCUUAUCAGCUUGUUGGUGGGGUAGUGGCCUACCAAGGCAUUGACGGGUAGCCGGCCUGUGAGGGUGACCGGCCACAUUGGGCCUGAGAUACGGCCCAGACUGCUACGGGAGGCAGCAGUGGGGAAUAUUGCACAAUGGGAGGAAGCCUGAUGCAGAAACGCCGCGUGCGGGAUGACGGCCUUCGGGUUGUAAACCGCUUUCGCCUGUGACGAAGCGUGAGUGACGGUACUGGGUGAAGAAGCACCGGCUAACUACGUG